UUCCGGUUGAUCCUGCCGGAGGCUACCGCUAUUGGAGUUCGAUUAAGCCAUGCGAGUCGCGAGAAAUUAGAUUCUCGGCGUACCGCUCAGUAACACGUGGGUAACCUGCCCUAUGCUGGAUAAUAACCUCGGGAAACUGAGAAUAAUGAUCCAUAGUUCACUACGCCUGGAACGGUGAGUGGAUGAAAGCUCCGGCGGCAUAGGAUGGGCCUGCGGCGUAUCAGGUUGUAGGGGGUGUAAUGUACCCUCUAGCCCUCUACGCGUACGGGUGUUGGGAGACAUAGCCCGGAGAUGGAUUCUGAGACACGAAUCCAGACCCUACGGGGUGCAGCAGGCGCGAAAACUUGGCAAUGCGAGAAAUCGUGACCAGGGAACUCCAAGUGCAUCGGGUAAGACCGGUGCUUUUCUUGACUCUAAAUAGGUCUUGGAAUAAGGGGUGGGUAAGGACGGUGCCAGCCGCCGCGGUAAUACCGGCGCCUCAAGUGGUAGUCGCUUUUAUUGGGCCUAAAACGUCCGUAGCCGGUCUGAUACAUUCGUGGGUAAAUCAACCAGCUCAACUGGUUGAAUUCUGCGAGGACGGUCAGACUUGGGACCGGGAGAGGUGUGGGGUACGCUCAGGGUAGGGGUAAAAUCCUGUCAUCCUGAGCGGACCACCUGUUGCGAAGGCGCCACACUAGAACGGAUCCGACGGUCAGGGACGAAGCCUAGGGGCACGAACCGGAUUAGAUACCCGGGUAGUCCUAGGUGUAAACGCU
rnacentral:rRNA from 1 species